rnacentral:rRNA from 1 species
AGAUUGAACGCUGGCGGCAUGCCUUACACAUGCAAGUCGAACGGUAGAGGGAGCAAUCCUUCGAGAGUGGCGAACGGGUGAGUAAUAUAUCGGAACGUGCCCAGUCGUGGGGGAUAACGUAGAGAAAUUUACGCUAAUACCGCAUACGAUCUAAGGAUGAAAGCGGGGGACCUCGCAAGGGGCCUCGCGCGAUUGGAGCGGCUGAUAUCAGAUUAGGUUGUUGGUGAGGUAAAAGCUCACCAAGCCGACGAUCUGUAGCUGGUUUGAGAGGACGACCAGCCACACUGGGACUGAGACACGGCCCAGACUCCUACGGGAGCAGCAGUGGGAAUUUGGACAGUGGGGAACCUGAUCAGCCAUCCCGCGUGUGCGAGUGAAGGCCUUGGGUUAGUAAGCUACUUUGGCAGGGAAGAACGGCGUACCCCGUAAGUACCGGGCGUCCGACGU